rnacentral:lncRNA from 1 species
AUAAUCAUACCAAUAAUCUCAAUUUGAACUAUUUUAUUAGUAAUAGUUGUCAAUGGGUAAUGGAGAACAGACAAAUGCUAUAAUAAAUCUUUCCUAUAACAAAUGGAACACAUUAAGAAAUGUGGAAAUACCAUGCUCAAAUUUUCACAAAAUCUCUCCUGGACAAAUUAAUUUAUUCUAUGACAAGAAAGUUAUGAAAUAGCACAAUCAGGCAAGACAAGUAUAAGUAUUUUCUGGACAAGUAGACUUUUGUAUAGUAUUUCAUCUCGGACAAGUAGACUUUUGUAUAGUAUUUCAUCUUAGGCAAGUGAAGACUUUUGUAUAGUAUUUUAUCUCAGACAAGUAGACUUUUGUAUAGUAUUUCAUCUCAGAUAAGUAGACUUUUGUAAAGUAUUUUAUCUCAGACAAGUAGACUUUUGUAUAGUAUUUCAUCUCAGACAAGUAUACUUUUGUAUAGUAUUUCAUCUCAGACAAGUGAAGACUUUUGUAUAGUAUUUCAUCUCAGACAAGUGAAAACAGGAAGCGGGAUCCGGGAUCAGAACCCCCCAA